rnacentral:ncRNA from 1 species
GACCUUUGAUGCAAUCCGCUUGGUCAAGGAAGUUGAUUGCCUAGGUCGCGGCUCGGUUUGUGCAUAUUGCCAAUACUUGAAUAGACUUCGGUUGAAAGAAAAAUGCACAAU